UCCCUUAUCCGCUUUUCUGUUGGGGCAUGCCGAAUUCCGCUGCCGCACAAACAGUCCCCCGCGAAAUAGCAGGCGAAUCCUCCGCUGUGAUCAUCUAUUGAUGGUUGGCACGCAUCCUGUUGGAGCUCUCAACGUCGUGCAUAUAUAUACGUGCCCCGCAACCUUCCCUCUCAUCACAGUUGGUUAAUCAUCGCCAUAUGCGGGGUCCUGUGAGAGCGCAUCAAAGAGGAGAGAGAAGUGAAUGUGAGGACCGCUGCUCGGUACUAUUUCUGGGCGAGCAGCGUUGUGCCUGGGGCAGCGACGUAACCAGAUGAAGUCUGUGCAGUGCCAAAUCGGGUGGGGCGUCGGGGCCCUUUUUUCCAGUCUUGCGGUCGCCGGGUCCUUGUGCUAGGAUGGCCGAGUGCAGGGCGUGUUGGGGAAAUCAUGGGAGAAGGAGAAAGUUGUUGGGGUCGUGCAAGCGCUGAUGGUGGCGUGGUGUUCCUGGAGAGUGACCAUGAUGCCUCAUCAGAUUGCGUCGCAUGUCUUCUGCGUCUAGUCGAGCAAAAAGGGAAUGGCUGGUGAGCAUGCAGUUCUUCGCCAAAGCAGACGCAUCAACACUGGACCGCUGCUCGUCGCGAGCAGCGCUGUUGGCGCCCAUGCUUUUGGUCAAGAACAUGUACCACAGGAUGAGGCGCUUGGAGGAUGCUGCGAUGUGUUCGUGAGAGGUCUAGGUCGUCGUCUCCCAGUCAACUUUGGGUUGCUGGACCGUUGUCUCUUUAUAAUGUAAUUAUUUAUUUAUUUUGUAUAGAACUCCUGUUAUGUAGUAAAGAUGUGACAUUCGAUCCUGUGCCAUGAUUCAUCAUAUGUGUGAGACUUGGUCCCAGCACACCUGGUGAUUAUGUUCGCGCCCGGGUCUUGGUGCCCCGAAACCCGGGUGUGACAACUUUGGUAAAGGGUUCAAGUCAUGAAUUGGUCA